rnacentral:rRNA from 1 species
CUUGUACCAAUGUACCCUUGGUCAGCCGCUCUGUCGAUAGAACGGUUUGAAUAGACUAUUGAGCCGUUCCACUGGUGCGGCUACUGAGGCACCAGAGCGGGGAAGUCGGCAAGUUGUUCAAUUUGAUCAAGUAGAGUAGUAACAGUGUUUCCGUAGUUGAACUAGGGGAACGUGCGGAAGCGUCGUGAAAGAUCCAAGAAUACACGUCAAAACACAGUGAGCCAGUGAAACUGUGAGACAGGUGUCUACGCGUGGGCACAUGGUUGUGUGGUUGAUUGGUGCAUAGGUUCAUUCCGCCAGCCGUGUCUAUGAUAUCACGAUAUCACUUUGAGCGUGAGAGAGUGAGAAUCAAUGUAUCAUGCUUUAAAUGUAUGAGAAAGAAGGAUGGGAAACUGAGAGACACGUUUGGUCGGUGGAUUUCUGUGCUCAUGAAGCGAUGAAGCAGGCAGCCAGUUUAGAUAUGUAGUGUGAAUUCCAGAAUUCAGUGAAUCAUUGAAUCUAAGAGCGCAAAUGGGGUUCUUCCGUUAUCCCAUGAGCAUGUGUGUCGGAGUGUCUGAUUUUCUCUAACGCAUUCGGGAGUGCGGUAUCGAGGUGUCUUGGCGAGCAAGCAAGCAAGCAUUAAAUCGCCGUGUCCCUUGAAGGACAGCAGCAUUGGACUCGCAUUCUCUAUUGAAACUUGAGUGCGAAGGCUAAAGAUAAUAUUUUCCUUCGCCCAAACAUGCAAUAGCAGAAACAAAAUCCAAUCAAAGCGGUGACAAACAAUAAACAUCAAAUCUUGACCUCAGAUCAGGCAAGGCUACCCGCUGAAUUUAAGCAUAUUAAUAAGCGGAGGAAAAGAAACUAACAAGGAUUCCCUCAGUAACGGCGAGUGAAGCGGGAAUAGCUCAAAUUUGAAAUCUCCGACGCUUGCGUCGGCGAAUUGUAGUUGCGAGAAGCACUUUCUAGGCGGAUCGGUCGUGCCUAAGUUGCUUGGAACAGUACGUCAUAGAGGGUGACAACCCCGUCUGUGGCUCGGCCGGCCGCUCACGAUGGCUACGAUUUACUUUGUUCCCC